rnacentral:SRP_RNA from 2 species
GCCGAGCAAGUAGCGAUUGCUUGUAACCCGAGCGGAGGCAAUAAGGUGGUGUGGAUGCCAAGUGUUGCGGAUGGGCCUGGGUCUAGUGGCACAAUUUGUGGCCUGCCCGUUCCACCUAAAGUGGUGGGUAUUGCGGCUGCGAAUACCACUCGCUUCCAACGGUGGAAGGAUAACGGGUCACUGCACUCUAGGCCCACUUAGGACCCAUCUGUCCUCUUUGGAAGACCAUCAUUCUU